rnacentral:lncRNA from 1 species
GAUCUUUUUCCGUUUACUUUACCUUUUCCGGUCGUCAAGAAGUAUAUACUUGUGUGCGUAGGGGAGAUUACUAGUGUCAUUUGUUAAUUCGACGAAAGGUGGUAAUAUGAUUCCAACUUUUAAAAAAUUGUAAACCAAUACGUUUUUCCAAGUAAAUGUUCAUCGAAACGUGUACUAGAUGGUCGAGGUUGAUACCGCUGCUGGAGG